GGGUUGUGAGGUUAAGCGACUAAGCGUACACGGUGGAUGCCCUGGCAGUCAGAGGCGAUGAAGGACGUGCUAAUCUGCGAUAAGCGUCGGUGAGGUGAUAUGAACCGUUAUAACCGGCGAUUUCCGAAUGGGGAAACCCAGUGUGUUUCGACACACUAUCAUUAACUGAAUCCAUAGGUUAAUGAGGCGAACCGGGGGAACUGAAACAUCUAAGUACCCCGAGGAAAAGAAAUCAACCGAGAUUCCCCCAGUAGCGGCGAGCGAACGGGGAGGAGCCCAGAGCCUGAAUCAGUGUGUGUGUUAGUGGAAGCGUCUGGAAAGGCGCGCGAUACAGGGUGACAGCCCCGUACACAAAAAUGCACAUAUUGUGAGCUCGAUGAGUAGGGCGGGACACGUGGUAUCCUGUCUGAAUAUGGGGGGACCAUCCUCCAAGGCUAAAUACUCCUGACUGACCGAUAGUGAACCAGUACCGUGAGGGAAAGGCGAAAAGAACCCCGGCGAGGGGAGUGAAAAAGAACCUGAAACCGUGUACGUACAAGCAGUGGGAGCCUCUUAAUGGGGUGACUGCGUACCUUUUGUAUAAUGGGUCAGCGACUUAUAUUCUGUAGCAAGGUUAACCGAAUAGGGGAGCCGAAGGGAAACCGAGUCUUAACUGGGCGUUAAGUUGCAGGGUAUAGACCCGAAACCCGGUGAUCUAGCCAUGGGCAGGUUGAAGGUUGGGUAACACUAACUGGAGGACCGAACCGACUAAUGUUGAAAAAUUAGCGGAUGACUUGUGGCUGGGGGUGAAAGGCCAAUCAAACCGGGAGAUAGCUGGUUCUCCCCGAAAGCUAUUUAGGUAGCGCCUCGUGAAUUCAUCUCCGGGGGUAGAGCACUGUUUCGGCAAGGGGGUCAUCCCGACUUACCAACCCGAUGCAAACUGCGAAUACCGGAGAAUGUUAUCACGGGAGACACACGGCGGGUGCUAACGUCCGUCGUGAAGAGGGAAACAACCCAGACCGCCAGCUAAGGUCCCAAAGUCAUGGUUAAGUGGGAAACGAUGUGGGAAGGCCCAGACAGCCAGGAUGUUGGCUUAGAAGCAGCCAUCAUUUAAAGAAAGCGUAAUAGCUCACUGGUCGAGUCGGCCUGCGCGGAAGAUGUAACGGGGCUAAACCAUGCACCGAAGCUGCGGCAGCGACACUAUGUGUUGUUGGGUAGGGGAGCGUUCUGUAAGCCUGUGAAGGUGUACUGUGAGGUAUGCUGGAGGUAUCAGAAGUGCGAAUGCUGACAUAAGUAACGAUAAAGCGGGUGAAAAGCCCGCUCGCCGGAAGACCAAGGGUUCCUGUCCAACGUUAAUCGGGGCAGGGUGAGUCGACCCCUAAGGCGAGGCCGAAAGGCGUAGUCGAUGGGAAACAGGUUAAUAUUCCUGUACUUGGUGUUACUGCGAAGGGGGGACGGAGAAGGCUAUGUUGGCCGGGCGACGGUUGUCCCGGUUUAAGCGUGUAGGCUGGUUUUCCAGGCAAAUCCGGAAAAUCAAGGCUGAGGCGUGAUGACGAGGCACUACGGUGCUGAAGCGACAAAUGCCCUGCUUCCAGGAAAAGCCUCUAAGCAUCAGGUAACAUCAAAUCGUACCCCAAACCGACACAGGUGGUCAGGUAGAGAAUACCAAGGCGCUUGAGAGAACUCGGGUGAAGGAACUAGGCAAAAUGGUGCCGUAACUUCGGGAGAAGGCACGCUGAUAUGUAGGUGAAGCGACUUGCUCGUGGAGCUGAAAUCAGUCGAAGAUACCAGCUGGCUGCAACUGUUUAUUAAAAACACAGCACUGUGCAAACACGAAAGUGGACGUAUACGGUGUGACGCCUGCCCGGUGCCGGAAGGUUAAUUGAUGGGGUUAGCGGUAACGCGAAGCUCUUGAUCGAAGCCCCGGUAAACGGCGGCCGUAACUAUAACGGUCCUAAGGUAGCGAAAUUCCUUGUCGGGUAAGUUCCGACCUGCACGAAUGGCGUAAUGAUGGCCAGGCUGUCUCCACCCGAGACUCAGUGAAAUUGAACUCGCUGUGAAGAUGCAGUGUACCCGCGGCAAGACGGAAAGACCCCGUGAACCUUUAC
rnacentral:rRNA from 1 species